AAGUCUUUCACGGUUCUCUCGCUUUCGAAGGGGUGCAGGUGGACGGAAGGCCCAGAAAUGUAGCCGAUACGCGUCUGGCUCUGCUUAUCCCCGCAUAAGCAGCGCCUUGAAACAAAAAAAAAAUUAUUAAUAAAAACUAAGAUUAAAAAACGAUGUUAAUUAUUAUCAAUUCAAUUCUUUGUCGUUUCGAUACUCGAAAAAAGCGGAAUAAAAAAUCAAUUGUAAUAUCGAUGUAUUAAUUGUUCCAUUAUCCUUUACGAUUCUGUCUAUGUAUAUGUAUAUGGUAUUAUAUGUAUAUGUAUCGAGUUUAAGUGUCUUUAAUGUCUUAUUACGCAUCUAAAGAAUAAUUGUCUCGCUAAUCGACGAUUAUUGUAAUAAUGAUAACUGGUAAUUGUUGCGCGACGUAGAUUCCCAAUAACUAUUGUAAAAGCUCCGUUUACAUUCGUGGCGAGACAGAAUUACGUGAAUUCAUAUCAACUACGAGCUGGAACGCGCGUUUGUUUGCACAUGUAUUUUUGAUCGAAUUCCUGGCUUUUAUUUACUCGGUUAUUUAUCUAUUCGUUUUAUUAUUGUCUCGAUUAAUUUACGGCGAUACAGUAAAAUAACGCGAAAGUAAAAAAAAAAAAAAAAAAAAAAACAGCGAAGACCGGUAAAGUCGAACUAACUUCGAACGAAGCCCUUUGAAGACGCAUUCCAACGUCGAUCUGUUUAUAAUCCAAAUUCACAAUGGUCGCCGAAAAGUACGCCAGCGCCGAGCCCGAGCUGAAGAAGGAGUUGAAGGAGAUCGCCGAGAGGAUCGUUUCCACCGGCAAGGGUAUUUUGGCCGCCGACGAGUCGACCGCGACAAUCGGAAAACGUCUUCAGGACAUCAACGUCGAGAACAACGAAGCGAACCGCAAGGCCUACCGCCAGCUCCUCUUCACCACCGACAAGGAAGUGAUCAGCCAGCACGUAUCCGGUGUGAUUCUCUUCCACGAGACGCUCUACCAGAAGGCCGACGACGGCACUCCGUUCGUCGAGCUGUUGGCUCAGCGCAACAUAAUCCCCGGUAUCAAGGUCGACAAGGGCGUCGUACCCCUCUUCGGCACCAAAGACGAGUGCACCACCCAGGGACUGGACGAUCUGCAGGCGCGUUGCAUUCAGUACAAGAAAGACGGAUGUCACUUCGCCAAAUGGCGUUGCGUACUGAAAAUCACAAAGGACACACCCAGCCAGCUGGCGAUCCUGGAGAACGCGAACGUCCUCGCGCGUUACGCCAGCAUAUGCCAGAGCGCGCGUAUCGUGCCGAUCGUCGAACCCGAAAUUCUUCCCGACGGUGACCACGAUCUCGCCAGAUGCCAACAAGUCACCGAGCAAGUCCUGGCCGCCGUUUACAAGGCCCUAGCUGACCACCACGUCUACCUCGAGGGAACCCUCUUGAAGCCGAACAUGGUGACACCCGGUCAGAGUUGCCCCAAGAGAGCCUCGCCCCAGGAGAUCGCCGCGGCUACCGUUACCGCUCUUUCGCGCACCGUGCCCCCCGCGGUGACCGGCGUCACUUUCCUCAGCGGUGGACAAUCCGAAGAGGAGGCCUCCGUCAAUCUUGACGCCAUCAACAAGUUCCCCGGCAAGAAACCCUGGGCAUUGACUUUCAGCUACGGGCGCGCCCUUCAAGCUUCCGUUCUCCGCGCGUGGGCCGGUAAACCCGAUCAGAUCGUUGCCGGACAACAAGAACUCAUCAAGAGAGCCAAGGCAAACGGCGCCGCUUGUCAAGGCAAGUACGUAGCAGGCAGUAUUUCGAGUACAGCUGGCGGCUCUUCACUUUUCGUCAAAUCGCACGCCUACUAAUUUUUACGCACUUCUUCCGUUCCAAUACGCACCAUUAUCACGUGACGAGCUCGGCAAACAGCGAUGCUGCCCAAGGAAAGUACGCUGGUGGAGUAGCCAGCCUCGCAGGAGACGCAGGACUCUUCGUAGCUAACCACGCGUAUUAAAUAAAUUAGAAAUAACGAGAAGAGUUGACAAAUAUCAUUUAUUCCUUGCGCAAUCAUCGUCACAACCUAUGCGGAGAAGAUUAUCGAAAAAAAGGCUGCGUUGCGGACGGCUUUCAAAUUUCAUCAAUGACGUAUCGAAACCGGAGAACUAAAAGUAAAAAAAAAAAAAAAAAAACGUGUAAAUCACGUCGAAAUAUGCAAGCAUGACAACCCUGCAGUUCCCUGAGAAUCGUCAAUUUUUAAGCUCCACCAAAGAACGUGAAAAUUUCAAAAAACGAUGUAAAAAAAAAAAAUAAAUAAAAACGAACAACUUCGAUUAUAUCUCGACGUCAUAUUCGCUCGGUCAUUUUACAUUCAUUAAUUGAUACGCUACCAUCCGACGAAUUCAAUAUCAAAAACCUUGCUUGGAUCGAUGAUGGUUUGGUGAAACCUAUGAGUAUGAAUUAUCGCCUAGUCUCAUCGUGUGAUAAAAGAAAAUAAAUUCAGGGGUUCGUUGAUAAAAAUAUAUAUAAAUACAACAGCGACGUGUAAUAGCUCCGCUUAUGAAUU